AUUGAACGCUGGCGGCAGGCCUAACACAUGCAAGUCGAGCGGAUCGGCGGCCGGGUGCGUAUUGCCUAGGAAUCUGCCUGGUAGUGGGGGAUAACGUUCGGAAACGGGCGCUAAUACCGCAUACUAUCAGAAUAGCCUAGGUCGGAUUAGCGAGUUGGUGGGGUAAAGGCCUAGCAAGGCGAAGCUCCGUAACUGGUCUGAGAGGAUGAUCAGUCGCACGGGAACUGAGACACGGUCCAGACUCCUACGGGAGGCAGCAGUGGGGAAUAUUGGAAAAUGGGUGAAAGCCUGAUCCAGCCAUGCCGCGUGUGUGAAGAAGGUCUUCGGAUUGUAAAGCACUUUAAGUUGGGAGGCGUUACCAACAGAAUAAGCACCGGCUAACUUCGUGCCAGCCGCCGCGGUAAUAC
rnacentral:rRNA from 1 species